rnacentral:misc_RNA from 1 species
GUAUAUAUUUUAAGGCAUUGCUUUUUUACGGCAAGCCAUCAAUGACAUUCUGUUACAUUCUGAAUGGGGUGUAUAAAAACAUAGACGCUGGAAAAAUAAGCAAGGGAAGCCGACUUCCUGAGAAGCCAGCAUACCCUCAAAAUCCAAGUUUCCUUGAAAAGUUUUUUAUUAUUAUUUUCAUCCAGGUCUACAAAGAGUGCACAGGUGGUUGAGAAGAGUUUGAAAGGCGUGCACAAUGCUCCAAAGAGCCAGCUACAACCUCCCAACUUAUUCAAUAAUGAUCCUUCCGCAGGUUCACCUACGGAAA